UUUAUUGUUUCCCCUCCAGGCCCUCUUCCUCUUUUUUCUCCCUUCCUCUUUUCCUCCCUCCCUCUCUUUUUUCCUUUCUCCCUUCCUUCCUUCCUUCCUUCCUUCCUUCCUUCCUUCCUUCCUUCCUUCCUUCCUUCCUUCCUUCCUUCCUUCCUUCCUUCCUUCCUUCCUUCCUUCUCUUUCUCCUUUUAUUCUUCCUUCUCUCUUCCUUCCCUUUUUCCCUCCCAUUCAGGUUCUCCUUCCUGUUCUCUUCCUUUCCCCCCCUCCUUUUCUCCUUUUCUUUUUUAUCUUGCUUUCUUUCUUUCAUCCUUCCUCCCCUCCUUUCUCCCUCACCCAUCUUUGACAACAGACCUGGCACAUAAUAAGUAUUUAAUACAUGUUCUAUCUAACCACCUACCUAUCCUCACUCUCUUUCUCUCUUUCUUUCAUCUUCCUCACUUCCUCUCCUUUUCUUCUUUCCUUCUCUCUUCUUCCUCUCUCUCUCUUUUCCCUUUUUCUAUUCUUACUUUCUUUGUCUCUCUCUCCUCCCUCUCUCUCAGUCUCUCUGUCUCUGUCUCUCUGUCUCUCUUCUCUCUCUCUCUCUCUCUGCCUCUCUCUGUCUCUCUGCCUCUUUGUCUGUCUGUCUGUCUCUCUCUGUCUCUCUCUCUGUCUCUGACUCUCUCUCUCUCUCUGCCUGUCUCUCUCUCUAUCUAUCUAUCUAUCUAUCUAUCUAUCUAUCUAUCUGUCUGUCUCUGUGUGUGUGUCUCUGUGUGUCUCUCUGUCUCUCUCUUUCUCUCUCUCUCUUACAUAUACACAUACCCCACAGCUAUACUCUCCCUCUGCUUUUUCCCCACUCCUGACUCCCAUGGACUGAAAGAUUUGGUAACUCUACUCAGGUUUUACCAGUAGAAAAACGUGAGAAGGUUGGAAGGGAAGUCCACUGGGUGUAAUCUACUCUGGCCUCACACUCCCCUAGGGAUAACUCUGUCUAUAGACACAUUGCCAAACUCCAGUCACAAGCUUAGGCACUGGCAAUUAUUGACAGCACACCAGCAUCCAUCAAAGAUUAGGGGCUUGUGAGCUUUUCUUUUGUGUAAUUCUUGGUCAAAUUAUCUCAUAUACAUAGCAAGUGUCAGGCAGUGGUUUCUUUCCUCAACAAGGAGCAACAGUGACCCUAAACCUCCCAUCUCUCCCUCUCUCUCUCCCUCUCUCUAUCUCUCUCUCUCUCC
rnacentral:lncRNA from 1 species